rnacentral:rRNA from 1 species
CCCUUAGAUGUUCUGGGCCGCACGCGCGCUACACUGACUGGUGCAACAAGUGUCGCUCCUUGGCCGAUAGGCCUGGGCAAUCUUUGAACAUCGAUCGUGAUCGGGAUAGAUUCUUGUAAUUUUUGAUCUUAAACGAGGAAUUCCUAGUAAACGCAAGUCAUCAGCUUGCAUUGAUUACGUCCCUGCCCUUUGUACACACCGCCCGUCGCACCUACCGAUUGAAUGGUCCGGUGAAAUCUCCGGACUGGCGUGAGUCGGAGCAAUCUGACAAACACCGGAAAGUUGAUUAAACCUUACCAUUUAGAGGAAGGUGAAGUCGUAACA